GCCCUCUCAGGAGGGCACCUGGAGAGUUUCCAGUCCUCUACCAGUCUCAGCUACAAGAGGGACAGUCGAGCAGAGGCAUAGCCAUUUCAUUCCUCGCUUGGCCAGUGGCUAGCGAGUGGAAGAGAAUCUGCUACAAGU